UACGUAGGGUGCGAGCGUUGUCCGGAAUUAUUGGGCGUAAAGAGCUCGUAGGCGGUCUGUCGCGUCGAUCGUGAAAACUUGGGGCUUAACCCUGAGCUUGCGGUCGAUACGGGCAUGACUGGAGUUCGGCAGGGGAGACUGGAAUUCCUGGUGUAGCGGUGAAAUGCGCAGAUAUCAGGAGGAACACCAAUGGCGAAGGCAGCUCGCUGGGACGGUACUGACGCUGAGGCGCGAAAGCGUGGGGAGCAAACAGG
rnacentral:rRNA from 1 species